rnacentral:rRNA from 1 species
UACGUAGGGGGCAAGCGUUGUCCGGAUUUAUUGGGCGUAAAGAGCGUGUAGGCGGCCAAGCAGGUCCGCUGUGAAACUCGAGGCUCAACCUCGAGACGUCGGUGGAAACCGUUUGGCUAGAGUCCGGAAGAGGAGAGUGGAAUUCCCGGUGUAGCGGUGAAAUGCGCAGAUAUCGGGAAGAACACCCGUGGCGAAGGCGGCUCUCUGGGACGGUACUGACGCUGAGACGGCGAAAGCGUGGGGAGCGAACAGG